rnacentral:rRNA from 1 species
UACGUAGGGUGCAGGCGUUAAUCGGAAUUACUGGGCGUAAAGCGUGCGCAGGCGGUCUUUUAAGUCAGAUGUGAAAUCCCCGGGCUUAACCUGGGAACUGCGUUUGAAACUGGAAGGCUAGAGUGUGGCAGAGGGGGGUGGAAUUCCCGGUGUAGCAGUGAAAUGCGUAGAGAUCGGGAGGAACAUCAGUUGCGAAGGCGGCCACCUGGACCAGCACUGACACUGAGGCACGAAAGCGUGGGGAGCAAACAGG